AGUGAACGCUGGCGGUAGGCCUAACACAUGCAAGUCGAACGGCAGCACAGUAAGAGCUUGCUCUUACGGGUGGCGAGUGGCGGACGGGUGAGGAAUACAUCGGAAUCUACUUUUUCGUGGGGGAUAACGUAGGGAAACUUACGCUAAUACCGCAUACGACCUACGGGUGAAAGCAGGGGAUCUUCUGACCUUGCGCGAUUGAAUGAGCCGAUGUCGGAUUAGCUAGUUGGCGGGGUAAAGGCCCACCAAGGCGACGAUCCGUAGCUGGUCUGAGAGGAUGAUCAGACACACUGUAACUGAGACACGGUCCAGACUCCUACGGGAGGCAGCAGUGGGGAAUAUUGGACAAUGGGCGCAAGCCUGAUCCAGCCAUACCGCGUGGGUGAAGAAGGCCUUCGGGUUGUAAAGCCCUUUUGUUGGGAAAGAAAAGCAGCAGGUUAAUACCCCGCUGUUCUGACGGUACCCAAAGAAUAAGCACCGGCUAACUUCGUG
rnacentral:rRNA from 1 species